rnacentral:ncRNA from 1 species
UGCCGGGCGUGCGACGAAUACAAGACCCGCAAGGGAAAUAAGUCCGCCGUGCCUUUGGACGGUAGUUAGCGCCCGGCCCCCAUUCU